rnacentral:rRNA from 1 species
CCUACGGGUGGCAGCAGUGAGGAAUAUUGGUCAAUGGCCGGGAGGCUGAACCAGCCAAGUCGCCUGAGGUCCUCCUUCCCUCCUUUUUUUCCCCCUCUUUUUUCCUUUCUCCCCUUUCCUUUCUUUCCCUUCUGUGAGCGUCCCUGAAGAAAACACAUCGGCUAACUCCGUGCCAGCCUCCUCGGUAAUACUUCUUCUGCUCUGUUUAUCCGGAUUUAUUGGGGUUAAAGGGUGCGCAGGCGGAGGCACAAGUCAGCGGUAAAAUCGCGGGGCUCAACCCCGCGGAGACGGUGAAACGGUGUCCCUUGAGUGCGCGAAGGGUAGGCAGAAUGCGUGGUGUAGAGGUGAAAUGCAUAGAGAGAACGAAGAACUCAGAUCGCGAAGGCAGCCUACCGGCGCGCAACUGACGCUCAUGCACGAAAGCGUGGGUAUAGAAAAGGAGGAGAGAAAAGGGGAGGC